UACGGAGGGUGCAAGCGUUGUCCGGAUUUAUUGGGUUUAAAGGGUGCGUAGGCGGCUUUUUAAGUCAGUGGUGAAAGACAACAGCUCAACUGUUGCAGUGCCAUUGAUACUGAAGAGCUUGAGUACAGAUGAGGUAGGCGGAAUUUAUGGUGUAGCGGUGAAAUGCAUAGAUACCAUAAAGAACACCUAUUGCGAAGGCAGCUUACUAAGCUGUAACUGACGCUGAGGCACGAAAGUGUGGGGAUCAAACAGGG
rnacentral:rRNA from 1 species